rnacentral:rRNA from 1 species
UGCUGGAGGUAUCAGAAGUGCGAAUGCUGACAUAAGUAACGAUAAAGCGGGUGAAAAGCCCGCUCGCCGGAAGACCAAGGGUUCCUGUCCAACGUUAAUCGGGGCAGGGUGAGUCGACCCCUAAGGCGAGGCCGAAAGGCGUAGUCGAUGGGAAACGGGUUAAUAUUCCCGUACUUGGUGUUACUGCGAAGGGGGGACGGAGAAGGCUAUGUUGGCCGGGCGACGGUUGUCCCGGUUUAAGCGUGUAGGUGUGUGUUCCAGGUAAAUCCGGUUCACUUUAACACUGAGGCGUGAYGACGAGGCACUACGGUGCUGAAGCAACAAAUGCCCUGCUUCCAGGAAAAGCCUCUAAGCAUCAGGUAACAUCAAAUCGUACCCCAAACCGACACAGGUGGUCAGGUAGAGAAUACCAAGGCGCUUGAGAGAACUCGGGUGAAGGAACUAGGCAAAAUGGUGCCGUAACUUCGGGAGAAGGCACGCUGACACGUAGGUGAAGUGAUUUACUCACGGAGCUGAAGUCAGUCGAAGAUAC